ensembl:lncRNA
UGUCAGGGUCCUGGGACUGGGCGACCCAGGAUCCCUGAGCAGUCAUGUAUUAUAUUAUUAUUAUUAUUAUUGCUGUGUAUUUUGGUGUUGCUCCCCCUUCCCUGUGCUUGUGUAUAUGUGUGUGUGGGUGGCUGAGCACUUGUUUAUAGGCGGCGUCAGGCCUGGAGGGUGUGGCCCUGCAAGGGGACUGGCCACACCCGAAGCCACACACCUGCUGCUGAUCAGGCCUCGUCGGGGGAGCUACUUAAGAGAGUCUUGGAGCUCCCACCGGCGCGGGAUCAUUGCUUGGGACUCCACGUUAGUUACCCAGUUUAGGUUUUGGUCGUGUAAAGCCUGCUGCCGCUGUGUGUGACACUGAUUUUGCUGCUGCACUCUGUUUUAUAGGAAUAAACCCUGUUUCCAGCCAGUCCGUGUCUGUUGUCACAACGCAGUCGACCAUUUCACAUCUGCUACAUAAAAGUGGUGCCGUGACCCGGAUGCAUCUGAUUAGCCGCUGCCGAUCGCUGAGGUUGAGCUGAACACUUCCGACACCUUGGGACAUUAAUCAGUGUAACGCCACCUGCGGCCACAUUGCGGGUGUGGGGUUUCCUAGCCAGAGCUGUACGGACUCCACACUGGGUGAGGAGAAGCCUGCUGCCGCUGUGUGUGACACUGAUUUUGCUGCUGCACUCUGUUUUAUAGGAAUAAACC